rnacentral:rRNA from 1 species
AGCGAACGCUGGCGGCAGGCUUAACACAUGCAAGUCGAGCGGGCAUCCUUGUGGUGUCAGCGGCAGACGGGUGAGUAACGCGUGGGAACGUGCCCUUCGGUUCGGAAUAACUCAGGGAAACUUGAGCUAAUACCGGAUACGUGCGAGAGCAGAAAGGUUUAUCUGCCGAAGGAUCGGCCCGCGUCUGAUUAGCUAGUUGGUGAGGUUAUGGCUCACCAAGGCGACGAUCAGUAGCUGGUCUGAGAGGAUGAUCAGCCACACUGGGACUGAGACACGGCCCAGACUCCUACGGGAGGCAGCAGUGGGGAAUAUUGGACAAUGGGGGCAACCCUGAUCCAGCCAUGCCGCGUGAGUGAUGACGGCCUUAGGGUGUAAAGCUCUUUUCUCCGGGACGAUAAUGACGGUACCGGAGGAAUAAGCCCCGGCUAACUUCGUG